UAUGAAAUAAUGAAAAAUUUUCAGUUUGCAAAAUUGAAAAUUUACGAUUUUCAUAA
rnacentral:tRNA from 1 species